UUUGUAUUCCCAAUAUAUUCUUCUUCUUCUCUUCUUCAAAUCACCGGCACCUCUCUCCCUUUCUUUUCUACAUUGCACGUUGCAAGCUAAUGGGACUCUGUUUCAGCAAAAAGAUGAAGGAGGAGAAAGAGAAGGACGAAACAGAUGACAAGAAAGCAGAGAUGCCGCCUCAGAAGGAGGUGGAAGCCACCGCCGAGAAGCAUAAGGUGUUUGUGAGCAGCAAGUGUUUAGCCGCUGUUGAAGACGAAGGGAAGAAGAGAGGAGUAAAGCCCGGGAAGGAUGCUGGCGAAGAAAUCGAGGUUGAGGGAAAGGGAGGGGUUCCGGUGUCCGUGGUGGAGGAAAUCAAGCCUUCUGCCGUGGUACGGACCUCGAGCUGCACCAACGAGGAGGUAGACGCCAUCCUGAUCCAGUGCGGCCGCCUCAGCCGCAGCUCCUCUGGGAACGCCUCUAACGAGGGAGGACUCGGGCAUCGGAAGCACUCGGGGUCCAAGCGCAGCUAUGACUUCGACAACGAGAGGAAGGGGGACGAGGAGGACGGCGAGGAGAAAGCGGCUUCGAGGCCCUCCCCGCGCCGGCGAGCAGCUAGCCGGGAGAGGUCCGGGAGCAGGGAGCGGAGCGGCGGCGGAGGGCGUAGGGUGAGCCGGUCCCCUGGGAGGCGCUCGGAAGCUCUGUCGGGAGCAAAUAUUUGCGACAAGUCCCAGCAGCCGACCAAGAUGGUUGCCGUUCCGGCGAGGGAGAAAGGUAGGGGAACCUCACCUUGCUCCUCCCACAAGAGAGGCGGAACCUCGCCUCGGUCGAGGUCUCCUGCGAGUGCAUCCUGGACGCUGUCUAAUGAGAACGCCGCAAGUAAUCAGGUGCAGUUUCACAGCCGGAGCUCGUCGAGGAAGACAGAGCGAUCGCCUUUCCGGCGGAAUCCGAUGGCAGAGAUCGAUGAAAAUUCAGUCAAAACAGGCCAAAACCUGAGCAUCGACCACAAGAAAUCAAGUGAAAGAAGUGCUCAAAUAAUCAAAUCCUCGCAAAGAACUGAAGCAACCGAAGAAAUACAAAGCAACCAGGUUACAGCUGCGUCAACAAGCCUCGAGGUGGAAAACCACCAGCUGACGACCAUGUCAGCAACCAGGUCUUCCCGGAGGACAACUUCCAGAGACCUCGACCAAAUACCGAGUCGCAAUUCCUACUCUUCUUCGGCUCCGGAGGUCAUCCACAACGCGGCUUUCUCCCUCCCAGCAUGCUUGUCCAAAGCCUGUUCCAUCCUCGAAGCCGUGGCCGAUCUCAACUCCACGGGAGGCCAUUCCACUAACGCCGGCAACAUGUUCGACGAAUGGAGUGAGAGAAGAGGAUCAUUUGUGGAGACUGAGAUAGUUGUGAAGGAUGAUCUCAUGGAGCCGAGCAUUCACAGGUACGUCACCGUGAGGCAAUCCAGGGCUGAGUUGGAGCCCCAAGAAUCUGCGGGAAGCAACAGCUUCGUCGGCCAUCCUUGGGCCGCUGCUUCUUCCGUGCGGGAGCCGGAUUCCGUGGACUCCGCACGUACAUGGAGGUCAAACGACGAUGAAGAGGUGGAGCAAGAAGCCAAGGUGUCCUCGUUGAGCCAGCAAAAACAUCAUUCAGGAAUUCAGGGACGACGACCGAGGUGCACUAUCAACGGCAGCGGGAGUGACAACGGCCAUCCUCCACCGGAAUUAAAUGAGAACAAGAGCGGUGGCAAGGCUAACCGUACCCAAAUCAGUGGACUCUCGUCUACCGCUGCUCCUACUGCAACUAUUUAAGUAGCGGACGAUCUGUUGUGACCUUUGCAAAGCUAGAAUUUACUGCAACACGUACAGCUGUUCUGCUUGUUCUUUCCUCCUGCUGUUGAAGUGCAGUUGUAGUGCAGGGAAAGAUCCUCAUUGUGAUGUUAUAAGGUUAAAUUAAAAAGUAUACAAAACACAUGGCUGGUAUCAUCCACUGAAAUGACUUAUUCUGUAUGCAAACAAUGGGGUGCCUUUUUCUUUCUUAUCUAAACUAGAAGAGCA